AUUUGUUUUUGGUCGGCUGAUCGCAUAUCGCACAAGUGGACAUGACCCCUUUUAAUUUAUUCGAACUGAGCAGAAAAGAGUUUAGAUUAUAUACACGGCACCAAAGCAUGAACCACUCAGAAGAAUAUCGCAAUGUACAUAUAUCACUAAAAUAAAUUCAUCCAAAAAUAGACGUUUGAAGGUUGAUGUUUAGAAGAGAAAUGUGUGGUGCCCAACAAUGAGACAUGAACACAGACACAACAGCACAAAUAUAGGGUCGGGGUAUUAACAUAUAUAACUAUGUACAUGUACACAUGUGAAUAGAGAUGGGUGCGUGUGAAAUAGUUGUGUUUAUGAGCUAGGGCUACCUGUCCUUUUAAAUAAAAUUUCAGUUUAAAGAUGCCUACCCACAAUGUAUUUAAUAUUCAAGAAAAUUUGUUUUUCAACCAGAUCAAUUUUUCACUGCCGGAAGUAAAUUACUGCUCAGAUUAAAAAAAAUUAAAAGACAACAAGUUAGGAAGAGCUGAGUUCGCAAUUUGCAAGGCUCAAAGCCGGGGGAAUUACCAUCAAUGUGUGAAGGAUGUUAGAUAAACAUCAAAGAAUUUAUGCCUGCUAUGAAAAUAGUGUUGAAAAAUUUGAAUGACGAACUGUGUCGUUACUUCUCAGUGCAAGAAAUACGAACACUGGACAAAUCCGUUUUUGAAUGCAGCUAUACACGUGGCAAAUUCGACAAUUAAGCUCAAAGAAAAUCUGCUUGACUUAUCUGCCGAUGGAAUGCUGCAAUUUGGAUACCUUUUGGUUUAAAAGGAAAUACCCAGAGUUAACCACAGAGACUUUGAAGUGUUUGAUUCCAUUUGCUACUUUAUACUUGUGCGAGCUAACAUUUUCUUCCAUGGCCCAAAUUAAAAGUAAGGAAAGAAAUCGUUUGAAUUUGGAAAACGAUUUAAUUCUCAAAGUAGCAAGAACAGAUCCACUUUGGUAGAAAUUGGUCAACGCAAAACAAGCACAACUUUCCCAUUAAGAGUAAACUCAUUGGUUCAUUUUUGUUUUUUGUUUUUAAUCUUAUUGAAUUGUAUAAGAUGGAAGAGAUCUCAAUAUUUUAGUCUUUGUUAAUUAGAUACAAAUAAUAAUGUUUUGUAGUGACCCCCCAUUGGGUCGCGACCCACGCGUUAAAGAACGCUGUUAUAGAUCAUAUAUUCUGGAGAGGAUCGAAACCACCAAAAAUUCAUUCCCCAAACACAAAAUCCCCAAAAUAAAAAAUUCCCAAAAUUAAAAAAGGAGUUCUAAGCGAAAAACUUAUGAUACCUGGUGUUGGAUCAUGGCCAGAGACCGCCAGUGCGAAAAGGAGUGUUUUGGCGAAAAUUAUAUUAACAUCGUCCUCAAAUGAGAUAUAUGUGAUAUGAAUCAACCGAAGAGGCUAAAUUUAAUAUUGUAGCGGGUUUCUCGAUAAAUAGUCUACAUUGUAACUCACUCUUGAGUACGAUCACUUGAUUGUUAAAUAAAAGUCCCAAUUUAAUGGCUAUA